AUGAGAUGGGAUGCGCUGAACUGGGCUGGGCUUGGAUGCCAAGGUGCGGAGCAUCCCAGUGCGCCAAUGGUCCGCGUUGGGUACUGAUUCC
rnacentral:snoRNA from 1 species